rnacentral:rRNA from 1 species
GUGGGGAAUAUUGGACAAUGGGCGAAAGCCUGAUCCAGCCAUGCCGCGUGUGUGAAGAAGGUCUUCGGAUUGUAAAGCACUUUAAGUUGGGAGGAAGGGCAGUAAGUUAAUACCUUGCUGUUUUGACGUUACCGACAGAAUAAGCACCGGCUAACUUCGUACCAGCAGCCGCGGUAAUACGAAGGGUGCAAGCGUUAAUCGGAAUUACUGGGCGUAAAGCGCGCGUAGGUGGUGUUGUAAGUUGGAGGUGAAAUCCCCGGGCUCAACCUGGGAACUGCCUCCAAAACUGCAUGACUAGAGUACGGUAGAGGGUAGUGGAAUUUCCUGUGUAGCGGUGAAAUGCGUAGAUAUAGGAAGGAACACCAGUGGCGAAGGCGACUACCUGGACUGAUACUGACACUGAGGUGCGAAAGCGUGGGGAGCAAACAGGAUUAGAUACCCCUGUAGUCC